GAACACGAUUGGUGCUUUGCAUGGCAACU
rnacentral:piRNA from 1 species